AUUGAACGCUGGCGGCAGGCUUAACACAUGCAAGUCGAGCGGUGUGAUGGUGCUUGCACUAUCACUUAGCGGCGGACGGGUGAGUAAUGCUUAGGAAUCUGCCUAUUAGUGGGGGACAACAUCUCGAAAGGGAUGCUAAUACCGCAUACGUCCUACGGGAGAAAGCAGGGGAUCACUUGUGACCUUGCGCUAAUAGAUGAGCCUAAGGCGGAUUAGCUAGUUGGUGGGGUAAAGGCCUACCAAGGCAACGAUCUGUAGCGGGUCUGAGAGGAUGCUCCGCCACACUGGGACUGAGACACGGCCCAGACUCCUACGGGAGGCAGCAGUGGGGAAUAUUGGGCAAUGGGGGGAACCCUGAUCCAGCCAUGCCGCGUGUGUGAAGAAGGCCUUAUGGUUGUAAAGCACUUUAAGCGAGGAGGAGGCUCUUUUGGUUAAUACCCAAGAUGAGCGGACGUUACUCGCAGAAUAAGCACCGGCUAACUCUGUGCCAGCCGCCGCGGUAA
rnacentral:rRNA from 1 species